UACGUAGGGGCCUAGCGUUGUCCGGAAUUAUUGGGCGUAAAGAGCGUGUAGGCGGUUUGGUAGGUCCGUUGUGAAAACUCGAGGCUCAACCUCGAGACGCCGAUGGAAACCAUCAGACUAGAGUCCGGAAGAGGAGAGUGGAAUUCCUGGUGUAGCAGUGAAAUGCGUAGAUAUCAGGAGGAAUACCGAUGGCGAAGGCAGGUCUCUGGGCUAGAACUGACGCUCAUGCACGAAAGCGUGGGGAGCAAACAGG
rnacentral:rRNA from 1 species